rnacentral:ncRNA from 1 species
ACAAAGAUACUUCCGUAACUCGCGGCCCGGCCAUGAUGAAGGCGGGGGGAUGAAAUUUCCAUGG